UGCCAGACUCCUACGGGAGGCAGCAGUGGGGGAUAUUGCACAAUGGGCGAAAGCCUGAUGCAGCGACGCCGCGUGAGGGAAGACGGUUUUCGGAUUGUAAACCUCUGUCGAGGGGGACGAAGGAAGUGACGGUACCCCUUGAGGAAGCCACGGCUAACUACGUGCCAGCAGCCGCGGUAAUACGUAGGUGGCAAGCGUUGUCCGGAAUUACUGGGUGUAAAGGGAGUGUAGGCGGGAAGGCAAGUCAGAAGUGAAAAUUAUGGGCUCAACCCAUAACCUGCUUUUGAAACUGUUUUUCUUGAGUGAAGCAGAGGCAAGCGGAAUUCCUAGUGUAGCGGUGAAAUGCGUAGAUAUUAGGAGGAACACCAGUGGCGAAGGCGGCUUGCUGGGCUUUUACUGACGCUGAGGCUCGAAAGCGUGGGGAGCAAACAGGAUUAGAUCCCCGCGUA
rnacentral:rRNA from 1 species